rnacentral:pre_miRNA from 1 species
GACCUACUCCCUCCGUCCGAAAAUACUUGUCAUCAAAAUGGAUAAAAAAAGAUGUAUCUAGAACUAAAAUACAUCUAGAUACAUCCCUUUUUAUCCAUUUUGAUGACAAGUAUUUCCGGACGGAGGGAGUAUAAA